UCCCUGCGCUGCACAGGGAAGAGAUUGCUGCCUGACAUUGCCCCGGCGUGCUGCCUGACAAUGGGUAAGGGAUUCCAGAGGGGAACACGGCACCUCCUGCAUACCACCAGCACACCCUGGGAGGGCAAUUCCUGCAGCGGGAGUCUGUGCAGUGCUAGAGAGAGUCGGUAACGAUUCCUUCAGCUUGCUUCAAAGUGAGCUCUCCAGGAGGGGCCCUGCUGCUUUUCAGGAGCUGUGAGCCCUGGAGCCUCAGGGACAUCUCCAGGGAGGUUGGUUUGGGGCAUAGAAAGUGAUGCCUCGGGCUGUACCUCUGCUGCUGAGCUGAGCUGUGCUUUCUGAGAAGCAGGGAGCUGCUGGCAAACAGCAGUGCUGCAGACAGACAGCUAUGUCCAAGAGCAGCUCUUCUGCACCAAGAGCUGGGGACUGGCCUGCAGCUGGCACAGGGAGAGCAGGGAAGGAAAGAGGUGUUAAAGGCUGUGUGGAAGAACUCCUCAGUGCUCUUCACACAGUAAGUUUGGCUGAAGGCAAGGCAGAUGCAGUACGUUGAGAGAUCACCUGAAGUUAGCAUAUCCCACUGCUUAUAGGAUCUUCUGGGAGUGUUCCCAUCAUUUUUCCAUCACAAAGGAGGAGAUCCUGCUCCAAGUCAGUGAUUCCCUGCUCCAGGCAGUGCAGGGUGGGAUCUGUGAGCACAGGUAGGCAGGAAAUGUGGGAACAGAGAAGCAGCUCCCAUCAGGGACGGCUGCAGGCAGCAGAGAUGCACAGGCUGUGGGAAGGAACUGCCAUGGGAGGGGGAUUCUGGCACCUCCUGGCUGCGCCCUGCCAUGCAGAUGCUUUCUCUGGAGCAGUUCUUCCCUGGUCUCUCCCACUCCCCCAAGCCAUAGGGUCUCAGGCAAGCAUCACCAGCACAGCAGCCAGAGCCCAGAAGAGAAGCUCCCACACUCUGUCUGUGUGUGCCCCUCUUCCCUUGACAGGAACCCUGUGGCAUGUCACUGUGAUCCACUUUGGACCGACUAAAGCAGUAGGGGAGGAGGGGAGGAUUUGGUCAUCAUUCAGACACCAGCCCAGUGGUCCUGCUGUGCAGCGGUGCCUGAAGGAACAAUGACCAAGUGUCCUCCUGAUACUGCAGUGUAAGGAGCUGGGAUACAGGGACACCCCAGCUUUAGGGUAUGCAGCAGUGUCUAUGGGGCAUCUUUCGGGGCUGUGUGCUGCUCUCCAGAAGUACGCAGCUUUCUCACUAGAUCUUUGUGUUGCCUAGGUGACCCACAAAGGACACACCUCAGUGCUAAGGCCAUGUAGAUGCUACUGGAUGGCUCUCUGUGUGCAGACAGAAAUGAGGCCUCUGUAUUCCUGGCUAGGAGGGAAGAGCUGAGGUCCUGCUCAGACAUCUCGAGGAAAGGACGAUUCUUUACACUGCACAUUGACCCAGAGUCUCUGCUGCACCCAGAACAAGGUCUCCAAGCCCAGCAGCAGCAGUUGUCCAACAGCAGCUCCAUCAAUGAGUUUCUCCUCCUGGUGCUUGCAGACACGCAGCAGCUGCAGCUCCUGCAUUUCUGGCUCUUGCUGGACAUCUGCCUGGCCGCCCUCCUGGCAACGGCCUCAUCAGCACAGCCGUAGCCUGCGACCACCACGUGCACACCCCAUGCACUUCUUCCUCCUCAACCUCGCCCUCCUGAACCUGGGCUGCAUCUCCACCACUCUCCCCAAAGCAAUGGCCAAUGUCCUUUGGGACUCCAGGGACAUCUCCUUUGCUGAAUGUGCUGCACAAGUCUUUUUUUUACUAUUCUUUUUUGAUGCAGAAUACUUCCUUCUCACUGUCAUGGCCUACGACCACUACGUUUCCAUCUGCAAGCCCCUGCACUACAACAUCCUGCUGGGCAGCAGAGCUUGUUGCCACCAUGGCUGCAGCUGCCUGGGGCAGUGGGUUUCUUUAUGCUCUGUUGCACACAGCCAAUACAUUCUCAAUACCAUUCUGUAAAAGCAAUGCCAGUUCUGUGAAAUCGCCCAGAUCCUCAAGCCCUCCUGCUCAGAGUCAGACAAUCUCAGGGAAGCUGGGAUUAUUGAUUUUAGCCUUUGUUUAAUCUUCGUGUGCUUUGUUUUCAUUGUGCUGUCCUAUCUGCAGAUCUUCAGGGCCUGCUGAGGAUGCCCUCAGAGCAGGGAUGGCACAGAGCCUUCUCCACAUGCCUUUCACCUGGCUGUCUUGCUCUUUGUCAGCACUCUCAUGUUCGCCUAUCUCAAACCCCCCUCCAUUUCAUCCCCAUCUCUUGACCUGUUGGUUGCAGUUCUGUACUCAGUGGUGCCUCCAGCAGUGAACCCCCUCAUCUACAGCAUGAGGAACCAGGAGCUCAAAAACACAGUGAGGAAAUUCAGAGGAAUUCCAUGGUGUAUCCAAAAUUAUUAGAACAAUCUUUUUACUUUCAUUACUAUUUCCUCAUACUUGGAUUAAGAUUUAAAUACUUUUAUAUUCAAAUUCUUAGCCUCCUAUCUGUUCAUUUUUUUUUACCUAGUCAUGUCAUUACAAGUCCAACUUGAAAACUAGGACUCUGCGGUCCUAACAAAGUUCAAAAAGUUCAAGUGCAAUGUGUUGCCUUGGGCUGGGGCAAACGUAGAGAUAUGUGCAGAUUGAGAGAUUUCACUGAGAGCAACCCUACUGAGAAGGACUUCUGUCUGCCAGAGUUCUGGUGGAUGAAAAGCUGGAUGUGAGCCAGCAGUGCGUGCUUGUAGCCCUGAAGGCCAACUCAUCUGGGCUGCAUCAACAGAGGGGUGACCAGCAGGACGAGGGAGAUGAUUGUCCCUCUCUACAAAAACAACCAGAGGCCUGGAUGUCCCACCCCUGGAGAAGUUUGGGGUCAGGUUGGAUGGGGCCCUGGGUAACCUGAUGUAGUUUGAGCUACACUACCUUUAAGGUCUCUUCCAACCCUAAACAUCCUAUGAUUCUAUAAUUCUAUGAUCUUGUGUACCUGCAGAACCAGGCUUCCUGUGCAGAUGAACACAAUGAAGAAGCCAGCAGAAAUUCUUUUGUCUCAGCUCCCAUGUCUCCCUUGUCCUCUUGAGCAACCCGCAUAUGUGGGAGAGUUUCAAGGAGCCAGGAAACCAUCUGCCACAUGGAGCAGCAGACCUGGUGCCCCUGUGGUCUGCCCCUCAAUGCCGGCUGGGCUCUUCCUCUCUGCUGCCUUUGAGUUGGGGCUGUUGCUUUCCUGAAACCAUGGCCAUGAGCAGCAGCUGAAUGUGGUCUUUUGAGCACUGCUCUCCCUCCACUUCCUUGCUCUCCUGUUGUGCCUCUCCAUUCCUGUUAGUCUUCAGUUCUCAAUUUACUUGAUAGCAGUCCUGCUGUCUCUACAGUAGCAUACCUAACUAAAGGCCUGCUCAGGGCAGAGCCAGAAUCCAGGCCUCUUUCAAAGCUGGUGUCAGCAGUGCACACAAGGAGCUGCUCUCUGCUCUUUUGUUGUCUGGGGCUCUCCAUGAGCUGAAGUACACAGGCUUACAGUCCCACAGUGAUCUGCUAGUGACCAGUCACUGGACCCAGGGCUCCCUUCUCAGUGGCACUUGUUCAAGCAGACAACAAAUAUUUGUUGACUUAUCUGGAGCGUGAUCCAGUACAGACUUUUUGAAGCCCUGUGGGUCAGAUCUGGUUCAGCACUCAAGUGCCCUUUGUGACAUUAGAGGCACCCCACGCUCCUGCCAAGCACUGUCCUUGGCUGCAGAGCCUUUAGCACUAGAUGCAAGAUUAGAUUAGAUUAGAUUAGAUUAGAUUAGAUUAGAUGGCAAGAGGCAGCAGAGAUCUCCAUCCAUCUGUGUCUGCUGCCCACCCUGAGCAGCAUAACCUGGGCAGGGUCACCACAGAUCCAUCACUUCAGAGUAGUACCACCAGAUCAGGGCCUUGUGGGGAACACGGGGAGGGAACCAGGAGCAGCCAGCCAGGCCAGCAUGGACAAGCUGCCCUGGACAAGGCUCUCCAGGAGCAGGGAUGGCUCUGGAGAAGAGCAAGAGAGCAUUUCUGUGCCUUCAGGGAGGGACAGGUGAGAAAGAGAAAGCUAUUUCUGCAGGCAUUUGCUGGGGGCAGGCUGUGCUGGGCCAGGACUCUUGUGCUAGGCUGAGAAGAGGAUGGCACUGGCACAGGCAGUCUGUGCUGGGGGUCUUCUGGGCCUGGAGCUUCACCGACCUCUGUUUCCCCAGGCCACAGCCCCAGCCUAACAGCUGCUGUGCCUUCAGAGCUUCUGGGCUGUGGUGGCAUUGCAUACCCAGCGGUGGGCACUGCCACUGGUCUGCUGGGCUGAGCUGGGUUGGGAAGAGGGCAGGAGGUGGGGAGAGCUGGGGAAGAACCGGGAUGUUCCCAAUAGAGGGAAACACCACCAUUAGCUGAGCUGAGACAGUGUGCAGGGUGAGAAUUUGCAGCAGGGCUUUGUGGAGCAGAUUCAGGGAUUAGGGAAAGAGCCGAGAUUUGCAGAUGCAGGAGAGAGGAGGUCAGUCUGCAGAGGUCACUAACAGCCUUACACAACCAAGUCAGUUUUCUUCUGACUGAGAUACUUUUGGGACUGAGACUUAGAAAAUAACCAAGGUUGAGACAAGGCAUAAUAUGCAAUAUCCUAUAAAGUUUUUCAGGAACAUUUCAGGAACAUUAGUUUCUUCCCAAAAUCAGAAAAUAAAUUAUUUUAAAAAAAACAACAGGAGAGCAUUAUAAUGAUAUAUUAAUGACAAAAUAAAACUUAGCUCUGAUUGCCAUCAACAGGAACUAAGAACAGCUGUGAGCAAGUUCUGAGAUUCAUUUCUUUGAAAUGAUAAUUCUGAACUCGCAGUUAUCCUUCCUCAAAUUGGAUGCUUCUCUGGGAGAGAUUGGUGUGCAGGAGUUGCUCUGGUUGGUACACUUCUCCAGUCAAUAAACAAAAAGCUUGGGCUUCUACUCAAACAAAUGAGGGGUGAGGAGAGACUCCCUUGGGAAGUACAAACAUAGGACCUGUGACCAAAUUGUGAACAGCUCUACCAAAGGGGAAGAUUUCAAUUAGACAUUUUGGAAUACACCUUGCUCAGACUUGCAAAACUGAUGUGGUGUUUCAGGAAAACUUACCAAUAGCUUCCAUGCUUACUCCUCGUUUUCACAAAUGCAGCGUUUCCUUUGGAAAUUAAUUUGGACAAAAAUAAAGAAAACCAAAAGCCUGUUUUCCUGCGCUUCUGUAAAUCUGAGCCCAGAAAAAAAGAAAAAAUAAGUAGAUAAAGUUCUUAUGGAAAUGAGACAAGAUUGUCAUUCUGGUGCUGACCUCCCCGUCAUAUGCAUGGAUAAUGCAGAGAACAGGCUGCAGGUGUUUCAGCAGAACAGCUGCACUUACUCCUCGAUGCCAACAACCACGGUAAAUCUAACAAACCAUGCAAAAUCAAUUCAUGCUACAAAGCAACUGAAGGUGAGAAAGCUACUGUGAGACUUUUCACUUCUUGAACCUGCACUUGGCCAUCACAAUGUAGCAUCAAACUAUCUUCUGAGACUUUGGAGGAAAGUUUUGUGUGGCAUGUGACUACUUUGACUACACAGUUAUGAUUGAGCCUGAAACAUCAUUUCAUGUAAGCAGUUCAGCAAAACCUGUACGCUACUGUCUGCACAGAGCUCUUCUGAGUUCCUCCCACCCCUCCCCUCACUGUCCAUUAUUUCUACAGGCCAUUUUUUUCUGCAGAGAGCAGCAUAGCAUUUUUACUUUAUAGUUCCAGUGUUCUUUAUGUGGCUAAUGGAGAACUCUGCAAUGUAGAAUGAAGUAAUGGGAACUUCAUUCAACUGGCUGAUUUAAUAGUUCAACCCUCCACAUCAGACCUUGCUCUCUCCAGAAAAACCUUUGUGUAUUUGUCAUUUACUCAUAUUGUUCCACUUCAAGUGUGGUAGCCAGCAUUUCAGAAAUAACAAAGAGAAAAAAAAUGCACUGAAGUUUUUCUCUUGCAAAAGAUUUUUAUUUUACAGUAUUGAUAGAAGCAAGCAAGAGCCUUGAAACCAUUACUGCAAUGAAAAUGCGACCCCAAGUCUGCUCCUCAGCUUGCUACCUUGCUCACUGUAAGGGCAAGAAUGCUUUCAACAUUUUUAGUAAUAUACUUAAGGUUAGAAACUCACUAGUGAGCACAUAGAGAAGGAAGGCAGUGUACAGAGAACAGCAAUCCCAGCCUUGAGAACGCUCCGCUGCAACAGACCACUGUGGACACUUCUGUUUUAUCAUCAAAACUGAAACUAGAACUGCAUCAUGAAUGGAAUUUAUUACCAUGGGCAAAGUAUGACAUUGGUGUAAAUUAUAAAUGAACCAGCAGAAAUAAGUGUUGGUCCCUGUAAUUUCUGUAGCUAAAGCUAGUUUAUCAUGGAAGAUUUACAUACUGCUAAAAUCCUUGCAAAGUUGUAGUAUUCAUUCUUUCUAAUAAAAAUUUGUGGAACGAGAUAUAUAUUGAGCUCCAUGAGGUCUUUGCUUGCAGUAAGACAGCCUCGUUAAUAAAUAACCAAAUUAACUUUCGAAAGCAUCAGUUGAGCAUCAAAGCAAAAGCCUGAGAAAUAACUGAAACCCACCUCAAACACAAAACCGUUUUUCCCUCUGAAUUAGCAAGCGCAUGUAAGUCAGCUCCGACUGGCUUCCAGUGAGGGUUUCCCAAGUGUCAUGGCUGGAGGCAAGGAUACGGCCUGUGUUUCUGCAACACUACUAUCUGAGACAUAUCUUUCAAGGCUCCACACCCCAAGACUGACUGUUUAAAAUAAAAUCUGUAAUUCCUUACAACUACAAUGUACUUCUGCGAGAAUCCUUCUUUGGUUUUUUUUUUGUUUUUUUUGUUUUUUUUUUUUUUGGCUCAAAGCUUGCUUCCUGAGGUAUUUUGUGUGAUAAAACUCUGAUCGAUUUGUUGAGGAGGCAAGUGAUGGGUGCUAACCGUGUGACAAUCGAUAUCGCUUUGGGAACAUUUGAAAGCCCCUUCCUCCAGAGCUGCUUGCCUCUGGAAGAGAGCACUCGGGAGUGUUCACUGGCUGAAGAUCUGGCCUGUGACUAAACAGCUCCAGCUAGGUAUGGGAAAACUGGGGAAUGAUACCAUUGUGUCCCAUGAAAAACAGGAUGCAGAUGGGCAUCCCUGCUCCCUCUUAUCUGCUGGCAAGGCCCGGAAGAACAAAGGAGUUUCUGCUGAGAUCCCAGAGCCAGAAGCUGCCACUCCAAGGAGAGCUGACUCAACCACUGUGGAUUUGAGCUGUCACUCCAAAGACAGCUGACUCGGCUGCUUUGAAACCAUUGAAAAGGGGCCAUCAUUGCCACGGUCGUUGUCAUCGCCGUCAUCAACAGACCAACUCUGUCUGGCCACCCACCCUACUGAAGAUCAAUGACUGAACUACAAACCACGCUGGAUCCAUGGUGGUGAUCAUCUCCCUCUUGCUUCCUAUAAAGACUCCUUGCUUCUUCUUUUCUUCUUUCCUAUCUUUUCUAUCGCCCUCCUUCCCUUCCCCAUUACUCUAAUUCAUAAUAGUGUCCGUCCUCCCCUUCCCCAUUUCCCUAAUGAAGAUUUGUAAUAAACUGGUCGGACCAACAUUUGAACUGUUGUUUCACACCGAGUAGAUAGACAACAAAAGAACCUCCUCUCCCUCCUAUAGAUUGGAGUGAGACAACUUCUUGAGCAGGGUCUUGACAGGAAGAAGAAGAAAUGCUGCCAUUAAGCAGAGACAGAAAGGGGCAGAGGCAGUGGCCUGCCCUCUCCCACCUGCGUGCCUCAGAACUGGGAAGUUACCCAGCUCCCUGGGGUGGGAGCAUAAACCUACUUUCAUAGUUCCAGCAUCGAACAGAAUCCCUUGGGAGAACAAGACUGAGGGCUUCCAUGGCUCUGCCCAAGCUGAGGUGGGCAGACAAGACAACAGCAAAAGAGGAGAACUCACAUCCAGUUACACUUCUGGUUUCUCUUCCCUAGACCAAGUUAGUGCUCCAAGAUCCUUCCUAUCUAGCCAUCAACUCAAGGUUAAAAUGUGGCUCCCCGUCCUUCCAUAUGUCUUGCUCAUUUCUUCCUGUGGACAGGACCUCUACCCUGGCAGCACCCUGAGCAUGACACUAAGUGCUCCAGGCACACAGGUUUCCAAGUGAUGCCUAGCUUAUCUAAUGUGCACCACUUAACACACUCCUCCCUGUCACCACAAAUAUACCAUCAAAAUCUUAAGCAUCUGGCUUGAUUACUGGCAAAUCUACAUUUCUGGUCUUGACUGUCUGCUCUCUCCAUUUUUUAUAUUGCUGACCAAAUAAUUUUCUCAGGCCAAGACUUUGAAUCUUCCACGCUUCUCUUUGCGUCACUAGGUAUGGAUUCCUUGAGAUUAUUAUUAUUUUUUUUAUUCCUUUCUCUACAUGCAUAAAAGUUCAUUCUCAGCAGAACUUUUCCUAACAGAUGGUUUGGAAAAAAGGGAGACAGAAGUAUAGAGAAUGAAUGAAGGACCACUCAGUGCCCAUCUAGAAUCAUCUUCACUGAGUCAGUCUGCCCUCCAGCAGGUCUGCAUGGAUGAAAGAAGGCAACCGAGCUUCUCCAGCAGCUCUGCAACUGUUGGUUUCAAUCUAUGUACCUUUAACUUCUCCAAAUCCCUACUAUUGUUCCUCUAACUUAAAGCCUGUCCAUCACUUUACCCAAAUCCUUACUCCCUCGCUGCCAGUCCCACAUAUUCCCAACACCCCUGCUCUUUUCCAAGUCUCUGGUGCUUUGGAAUAGGCAGAGCCUCAAACUAAGGCAAAAAAAAAAAAGAAAAAAAAAAAAAAAGAAAGAAA